AAGAUGGUCCAUUUCCAAGGCAGCUGCACCUACAUUAUGGCCCAGGAUUGUGACGGAGGAGAUUUCAGCAUCCACGUGACCAAUGACGACCACGGGCGCCAGGGUGUGUCCUGGACCAAGGAAGUGACCGUGAUGGUUGGCGACACGACCGUGCAGCUGUUGCAGGACCGGGUCGUCAUGGUGGACUCCCAGACUGUGACCCUUCCCUUCCUGCAGGAGCCUCACCUGUACGUCGAACUCAAGGCCAACAC